GACGAACGCUGGCGGCGUGCCUAAUACAUGCAAGUCGAGCGGUUGAAGACUUCGGUUGGAGAUAGCGGCGGACGGGUGAGUAACACGUAGGUAACCUGCCUAACAGACUGGGAUAACUACCGGAAACGGUAGCUAAGACCGGAUACGUCAAUAAGGGGGCAUCCCCGUAUUGAGAAAAGCGGAGCAAUCUGCUGCUGAUAGAUGGACCUGCGGCGCAUUAGCUAGUUGGUGAGGUAGCGGCUCACCAAGGCGACGAUGCGUAGCCGACCUGAGAGGGUGAACGGCCACACUGGGACUGAGACACGGCCCAGACUCCUACGGGAGGCAGCAGUAGGGAAUCUUCGGCAAUGGACGAAAGUCUGACCGAGCAACGCCGCGUGAGUGAUGAAGGUUUUCGGAUCGUAAAACUCUGUUGCCAGGGAAGAAAGGCUAGGGGAGUAACUGCCCUUGGAUUGGCGGUACCUGAGAAGAAAGCCCCGGCUAACUACGUGC
rnacentral:rRNA from 1 species